UACGAAGGGGGCUAGCGUUGCUCGGAAUUACUGGGCGUAAAGGGCGCGUAGGCGGACGUUUAAGUCAGAGGUCAAAUCCCGGGGCUCAACCUCGGAACUGCCUUUGAUACUGGACGUCUAGAGUACGGGAGAGGUGUGUGGAACUCCGAGUGUAGAGGUGAGAUUCGUAGAUAUUCGGAAGAACACCAGUGGCGAAGGCGACACACUGGCCCGUUACUGACGCUGAGGCGCGAAAGCGUGGGGAGCAAACAGG
rnacentral:rRNA from 1 species